CAAAUUACAAGCUCUGAGUGCUCUACCAUUUUGAGCUACAUCCCUCUAACCUAACCUAACCUAACCUAACCUAACCUAACAACAAAUGCACACACAGCAGAGUAUAGACACAAGAGAUGAUAGACACGAAUCAAACAAUUUGUUAUUCACCGUUUUUUUCUUUUUUGCAUGUUAUCCAUGUUUUAAAAAACACCCAAGAGAUGAGAGACAAAACAAAUCAUGCGGCUAAACCUAUUCAGGCAGUACAAAACUUGAUCGGUGAAAAUCUUCCAAACAACGUAAGAGUAGAGCAAUAAGGACCAGUAACUAACAACUAAUGCAGAUCUCAUUUAUAUAUCAAACGAUCAAAUGAUGCAUGACGGAAAACAAUGUUAAAAACAAACAACAAAAUCCAGUUCAAGAGAAAUGUCGUAGAAUGAAUUCACCGCAAUAAACCCAAACAAUGGGACCGACAAUUAGAACACGAAAUAAAACAGAGUGCUUUUGACGUAAAAUAUAUCAUGAUUUUUGUAGCAAAAUAUCAUGCAUGUCAUUUAGCAAUAACAAUUAAAACAAAAUCAGAGAAUGGCUUUAACUUACAAUUCGAACCAAGCAUUCCUUCAUUCCCCUUACGUGCUUUGACCUUAUUUUAGCUUUAUAUUCCAAUUCAAUAUCUUUAGACGCCAAUUGCAGACACCCAUCAAUUCACUGUAAAUUAUUGAUGCACUUCAUGCGGCUCCUUUCAGAGUUAACCCACAAUUAAAAAUAUUAAUCACUUUGAUUAGUUAAAAUGUUAAUCCAGGAACAUUUUCAUCCCUAUCUUCACGUUGCACAUACAAAAUGACAUGACAUUUACAUUACUUUUUGAAAUACAACCUGCACACCAACAACGUCAUCAAUAGACCAGACAUCACCUAAGUUACAUCUGCACGACAUCUUCAAUGAAAAACAGGGAAACAAUGAACUCUAUAGAAAAGAACCGAACUCCACGACAUCUUCAAAGAGCAGUUCCAUCAACAUGAAUAUGACACACUGCACUCAUUCAUGAAAAGUAAAAUCCAUACUGCAUAAUCAUAUCCCAAAAAAUACUGCCAGAUAGUUCACAUUUAAACACCAACUCUAUGAGUUUCUAGCAAGGGCCCUCUGCAGGAAUGCAUCUCCACAUAGCUGCCAGACGUAUGAACUUUGACAAGAUAACAAAUAAAACGAUAACUUGAUAAGCCAGAAAGCAUGAACCUCUUAAUCUGUGCCUUAAACUCCCAAAAGAAUUCUGGCCGGCCUAAGUAGAAGACAAUGAGUCAGUCCAACCCCAAACUCCACGAUAAUUAAGAUUAUUCAGCACAAGACCACUGCAAGAGAACAUAGUUGUUGAAACAAAACCAAAAUUCACGACAGUUGAUGUAACAAAACCAGAAUUCAUCACUUCGGUCCAUGUAUAGUGCCAUCUUGAAAAUCAAAGCCAUGAUGCAACAAACUCCAUUUUAUAAGCAGUCCAUACUCCUCUAGGAUCCAAUGAAAUAAGGCUCCGCCCCAUCACUGCAUACAUUUAGAAUCACAUCUUACAGCGGUUUAAAGAAAAAACUAAUCACAAGAAAAGAAGCAUCAUACUCCCUCCUGAAAUCAAACCACAGGAGGGUAACUGUGUUUAAAGACAACUGCAUCUGAAAUGAAAAUGCCGGAUCUUAUCCAAGGAAAAUUCUUUAAAUUUAAAUAGCCAAACAAACUUCAGCAUCUCUCAAAUAGUUGUGAAUCCCAUCAGUCGUACAUCAGGCUGUGCAGUAUUUGAACAUAAACCAAGCCAAGAUGCAUAAAACCAGAGCCAGAAGACAAUGAAGCAAAGAAGCGUAAACUGAAGAAAAUCUUUCUAUGAAAACGGUGAAGGAUAACAGAUGGAUAGCAAACCAAAUGUGAGGACGGUUCCAUAAAGUAGACAUACGAUAGACUCCAAGCUAAAAAAAUCUGCACGGCAAACAAUCCCCAAGCAAUACGAAAUCAAAUCAUAAGCCAAGAACCCAAACCCCUUCAAAAAGCAGUAUGCUCCCCUUCAACAAAGUUGAACCCAGACAGAAGUUGGGAUGUCUCUGCAUAAAAAAAGUACUCUCAAACAUAGAGCAAAUUUAUAAACUAAAAAAAUAAAAUAAAAUCAUAAAGAUCUCAUAAGAACAACUUAGAAUAGAAAAAAAGGCCAAAGAGUAUCUGACUCCAUCCUAAAAGCAGGCAGCCCCGUUUUUCAUUCAACUGAGUGAGACAAAAGAGUUUGGCAUCUGCAAUAGAACAGUGACCGUAUAAUGGUUCAGCAUCUCAAAAACCAAAAACAAAUUCAUAAGACAGGAACUAUGGAAAUCCCCCCUUUCAGAAGCAGCCCACUCUCCUUCACUAAACUUGCACACCACGUACAAACUAAUGUCGGGACGUGUCUGCAUAGAAAAAACAUUGCUCAAACAACUGAAGCCAAGCAAAGAAAAGAAGACAGUAAGACAAAAGACCCCCUCUUAAAAGUCAACUGCUCCCCUUUAAUGAGUUUGACUCGAUCCAAAAUAGAAAGGCAUCUGCACAAAUAACUCCUCAAACAAUUUCGCAAUGCUCUAAGAAAUACAAGAUCAAGAAAUAGACCAAGAAGUAUUAACCCCUCUUUAAAAACCGGCAGACCGUUGUCAUCCGACACUCUUGAGACUUCAUAAACAGGUUAUUUUGAAAUCGAUCUGCAAAAAACAUUGUUCCAAUAACUGUUUCAGAUCUCAACCAGGAGUACGAUAUUAUAUCAAAAAGCAAAAACCGCUCAAACCCCCUCAGACUGCCCUCCUUCCUCUGCUUGCCAUAUACGGAUGGAGGAUAGAAUGUGUCUGCAUACAGAAACAAUGCUCAACUCAUGGCGCAAGAUUGGAUACAACAUCUAAGAAUGGACAUUUAAAAGAUAAAGGAAAUCCCCCUUAAAAGCACCCCUUUCCCCUUGAACAAAGUGAGAUUCCAUAUCCAACCUAGAUUUAAAAUGCAUCUGCAAAGAAUAUUGCCCAAAUAAUUUCAAAAGCUCUCUGAGAAUAGGAGAUGAAAACUUAAACCAAUAACCACGGAACCCCAUUCAGAAGCAGAUAGCACAUCUUUCUUUGACCGAGUCAGACGUCAUAACCACGAAAUUUUGGGAUGCAUCUGAUAUGAAACAUUGAUCAUUGAUCAAAUAAUACUAAAGAUAACAUAAACCCAAGAAAUAAGAAUUUAAAUCAUAAUCCAAUAACUAAUCAAACCCCCUCUUGGAAGCAGCUUGUUCUACUUCAACAAAGUUGGACCUCAUUUACAGACGAGUUGGAAAGUGUCUGCAUACAAAGACAUUGCUCAAAUAAUAGCGCAAAACCAUACUCUAGGAUAAGAAAACAAAAACAUACGGCAACAGAACCCCGUCAAUAUUCACUGUUCUCCUUUAACAAGGAAGGACUCCAAAAACAAGGCGCUUCAACGUAUCUGCAAACAAGCAACUGGGUAGGCACAAAUUGCUCAAAUAUAGAACCAAACAAAGCCCAAGAAUAGAAAACUAAAUCAGAAGCAAAAAGAAAGAACUUGAACCCCCAACUAAAACCAGCGCAUUCUCCUUCAAAACGUGAGAUUCCAUGAACAAAAAACAUACCAUCUGCAGAAAAAUCAUUGCUCAAAAAUGGUGCUAGAUGGUAAAAGCUUUUAAAAAAGAAGAUAAUAACGCAUGAGCCAAGAAUCACCAAACCCUCUUAUACAAUCAUGCAGCCCUUUUUCCUUUGAGUGAAACUCCAUAACAAGAAAAUUUUGGGAUGCAUCUGAUAAAAACAGUGAUCUUUGAUCAAAUAAUGAUUCCAGAUGGCAUAAAUCUCAAGAAAUAAGAAAUUAAACCCAAGAAAUAAGAAUUUAAAUCAUAAUCCAAUAACUAAUCAAACCCCCUCUUGGAAGCAGCUUGUUCUACUUUAACAAAGUUGGACCUCAUUUACAGACGAGUUGGAAAGUGUCUGCAUACAAAGACAUUGCUCAAAUAAUAGCACCAAACCAUACUCUAGUAUAAGAAAACAAAAACAUACAACAACAGAACCCCUGUCAAUAUUCACUGUUCUCCUUUAACGAGGGAGGACUCCAAAAACAAGGCGCUUCAACAUAUCUGCAAACAAACAAUUGGGUAGCCACAAAUUGCUCAAAUGUAGAACCAAACAAAAGCCCAAGAAAAAAAAACUAAAUCAGAAGCAAGAAGAAAGAACUUGAACCCCCAACUAAAAUCAGCGCAUUCUCCUUCAAAACGUGAGAUUCCAUGAACAAAAAACAUACCAUCUGCAGAAAAAUCAUUGCUCAAACAUGGUGCUAGAUGGUAAAAGCUUUUGAAAAAGAAGAUAAUAACCCAUGAGCCAAGAAACACCAAACCCUCUUAUACAAUCAUGCAGCCCUUUUUCCUUUGACUGAGUGAAACUCCAUAACAAGAAAAUUUUGGGAUGCAUCUUAUAAAAACAGUGAUCUUUGAUCAAAUAAUGAUUCCAGAUGGCAUAAAUCUCAAGAAAUAAGAAAUUAAACCCAAGAAAUAAGAAUUUAAAUCAUAAUCCAAUAACUAAUCAAACCCCCUCUUGGAAGCAGCUUGUUCUACUUUAACAAAGUUGGACCUCAUUUACAGACGAGUUGGAAAGUGUCUGCAUACAAAGACAUUGCUCAAAUAAUAGCACCAAACCAUACUCUAGGAUAAGAAAACAAAAACAUACAACAACAGAACCCCUGUCAAUAUUCACUGUUCUCCUUUAACGAGGGAGGACUCCAAAAACAAGGCGCUUCAACAUAUCUGCAAACAAACAAUUGGGUAGCCACAAAUUGCUCAAAUGUAGAACCAAACAAAAGCCCAAGAAAAAAAAACUAAAUCAGAAGCAAGAAGAAAGAACUUGAACCCCCAACUAAAAUCAGCGCAUUCUCCUUCAAAACGUGAGAUUCCAUGAACAAAAAACAUACCAUCUGCAGAAAAAUCAUUGCUCAAACAUGGUGCUAGAUGGUAAAAGCUUUUGAAAAAGAAGAUAAUAACCCAUGAGCCAAGAAACACCAAACCCUCUUAUACAAUCAUGCAGCCCUUUUUCCUUUGACUGAGUGAAACUCCAUAACAAGAAAAUUUUGGGAUGCAUCUGAUAAAAACAGUGAUCUUUGAUCAAAUAAUGAUUCCAGAUGGCAUAAAUCUCAAGAAUAAAAAAUUAAACAAGUCAAGAACCACCCAAACCCACUGUACAAAGCUGUUUCCUUCAACAAGGUAAGAAUGUGUCUGCAUACAGAAGCAUUUUAUUCUUAGACAACGUAGAAAAAUCUAUACUAAAAAACAAAUUAACAGGAUUAUAAGACAAGAGAACCCCCUCUUAGAUAUCAGCAUGCACUUCUCUAAAAUGCGACUCCUCAACAGACACUUAAGACAUCAGCAUACACAGAAGUGGGAAGCUGUCCGCAUGAAUAAACUUACUCAAAUAUAUCACCAAAGUAAAGAAACAGAAAAAUAAGUCAGAAGACAACAAGCAUAAAAACCCCCCUCAAAACAGCUUAUUCUCAGAAAACAAAGAGAGACUGCUUGAACAUACAUGAGCUAUUCUGCCAAGAACACUGCUCAAACCCAAAAAUAAUAAAUCAAGAUAUAUACGUAUGUGUGUGUGUAUAUAUAUAUAUAUUAAGACAUAAAUUGGAGCAAUCCAUUUUCCUUAAACUACCAGUCAAUUUAAAUUUGAUCCGUAAAACAUUGUUCAUAAGCCAAUAAAUAAAUAAAUGUGAAAAAAGAAGCAUCAAACCCAUCUUAAGUAACAAUCUUGCUCCUAAAAGACGCAAUAAUCACCUGAAUACAUACAGAAACCAACAAAGUCGUUACAGACUGGAACGAGCACAAAGAUACGUCUACAACAACAAAGCCUUUUCCCACUAAGUGGGGUCAGCUGUACAAAUAUACUUCUAUAAACCAAAUUUGAUUGAAGAACUAAAAACAGACCUUGAGGACAAAAAUCAGAAUCUGAAAGAACCAUACACGUUCCAAAUUUACUGAAUUUACUGUCAGUCACUAGAAGGGUUAAACAAGAGGAAAAACAUAACAUGAUUUUAAACAAAAAGGGUUAAACAAGAGGAAAAACAUAACAUGAUUUUAAACAAAAAUUCACGAGUUUAAGAUUUAUUUUUUUUUUUAAGAUUUAAAUAGCAUAUGAUCCGACCUCAAAACCAUCAAAAUAUUAGUCGAGUAAGAUACCUACCUAACCCUCCUGCCUAAACCAUCGAUGCUGAUUCAAUCUGGUAAACAGGGCCUGAAAAUUAACAACGUCGUUCCACUUAUUCAAAAGGAUGGGAUCAAAAUUUCUAAGUUAUUAUGAACUUUUGGAAGAAAGAAAAAAUGGAAGAGGUAACCCCCAACGUAUAAGGUAAAAUUAAUGAUCUUCCACUCCGAAUCAAAACCCUAGGGACACGUUAUCUGGUAAACAGGGCCUGAAAUUUAACAACAACGUUCCACUUAUUCGAAAGGAUGGGGAUCGAAUUUCUAAAUUAUUAUGUUAUAUAAACUUUAGAAAGAAAGAAAACGGAAGAGGUAACCGAUGUGGUGCAAACGCAUAGGUAAAAUUGAUGAUCUUUCCCUCCGAAUCGAAACAAAAGCUAAACCAGUUACUGGAUCCAGACCACCCUGGGACAGGAAAUCAAAAAACCGCAAAAGCAGAUCAAGAAGAUAAAACGAGACCUCAAUCCAACUAAUUGGAAAUCAUACCAACAUCACAAAUUCUUGUCCGGGAGACCGCGAUCGGUAUAAAAAUCCCAACAAUUCACAACCUUUAAACGUAUUAACUUGGUAGAAAAAAGGCCAUCGCCAACAUUCCAGCCAAACGCUAAAAACACACCAAUAACACUACAACGCAGAAUUAAUCAAUCCCAAAAAGUAAGUCGAAAGGCGGAGAACUUAAAUAUUUAAAGGGAAUUCAACCUUCAAUCAUCGUCAGAUGACUGGGAUCGAAAAAUUUUAACCUGGAAAGAGAAAUCGUCAUCGCCAGGAAUCCAGCCAACCCUAAAAUCACAACCAUAACGAAACGCAAUCCAUAAAAAUCAACAAACCCAAACGGAGGAAUCGAGCCGAAAUCGAAAUCUAAAAACGCAGAUUCAACACCAGCACAGAGCGAUGAAACCUGAUCGCUGACGCCACACCGAUCAAGGGCGCCAUCCGAACAAGCGAGUUGGGAGGAUGCCUAAGGGGGUAUUUAUAGGUAUAGUGAGUGAAUACGAACGGCUGAGAUUAAACCGUGAUGGAAACAAUGGACGGUGGAUAUUAAGGUAGAAGGGGUAAGUGAUUCGCUGUCAAC
rnacentral:lncRNA from 1 species